GACGAACGCUGGCGGCGUGCCUAAUACAUGCAAGUCGAACGCAGUGGGGACGGGUGAGUAACACGUGGGUAACCUCCCAUCAGAGGGGAUAACACUUGGAAACAGGUGCUAAACCGAUACUGAUGGAUGGACCCGCGGUGCCUUAGCUAGUUGGUGAGGUAACGGCUCACCAAGGCCACGAUGCAUAGCCAACCUGAGAGCGUGUUCGGCCACACUGGGACUGAGACACGGCCCAGACUCCUACGGGAGGCAGCAGUGGUGAAUAUUGCACAAUUGGCGCAAGCCUGAUUCAGCCAUGCCGCGUGUAUGAAGAAGGCCUUCGGGUUGUAAAGUACGUUCAGUCGGGAGGCGUUACCGACAGAAGAAGCACCGGCUAACUCCGUGCCAGCAGCCGCGGUAGUAC
rnacentral:rRNA from 1 species